rnacentral:lncRNA from 1 species
UUAUAUAUAGGAAGUACCAGCGGCGUAUCCACCAUGCUUGUAUCACAUUACACACGUCUCGUUACUCAAAUCACUUACCCACAUAAACCACCAAUGUAAAUUGCCCAUGUCUAAACCGUUGUCAAAUGUCAAUCAAGUAUUGUGUAAACAAAAUGUCAUGUAUGGCAAGUGAAAUAUGUAACAACCAAACCAUAGGUAAGAAUGCACAAACAAUGUACUAAGUAUGCGACGGAUGGACAUACAUAGCAUGAUACCAAGUAUAAGAUGUCUUGUAAAACGAUGUACUAAUAUGCACACAAUGGGCAUACAUAGCAUGUGAUGUAAAAUGUACUAAGUAUGAUGAACAUACAUAGCAUGAAAUGUUAUGUA